AUUGAACGCUGGCGGCAUGCUUUACACAUGCAAGUCGAACGGUAACAGGCCGCAAGGUGCUGACGAGUGGCGAACGGGUGAGUAAUGCAUCGGAACGUGCCCAGUCGUGGGGGAUAACGCAGCGAAAGCUGCGCUAAUACCGCAUACGAUCUAUGGAUGAAAGCGGGGGACCGUAAGGCCUCGCGCGAUUGGAGCAGCCG
rnacentral:rRNA from 1 species